rnacentral:rRNA from 1 species
AAGGCGACGACCGGCGCACGGGUGAGUAUCGCGUAUGUAACCUACCUCUGACUGGAGCAUAGCCCGAAGAAAUACGGAUUAAUACUCCAUAAUACUGCGAGAAGGCAUCUAUUUUCAGUUAAAGCUUCGGCGGUCAGAGAUGGGCAUGCGUAACAUUAGCUGGUUGGUGAGGUAACAGCUCACCAAGGCUACGAUGUUUAGGGGGUCUGAGAGGAUGGUCCCCCACACUGGUACUGAGACACGGACCAGACUCCUACGGGAGGCAGCAGUGAGGAAUAUUGGUCAAUGGGCGAAAGCCUGAACCAGCCAUGCCGCGUGAAGGAUGACGGCCCUAAUGGGUUGUAAACUUCUUUUAUACGGGAAGAAACCCCUCUACGUGUAGGGGGCUGACGGUACCGUACGAAUAAGCAUCGGCUAACUCCGUGCCAGCAGCCGCGGUAAUACGGAGGAUGCAAGCGUUAUCCGGAUUUAUUGGGUUUAAAGGGUGCGUAGGCGGAAAAUUAAGUCAGUGGUGAAAUCCUGCAGCUUAACUGUAGAAUUGUCAUUGAUACUGGUUUUCUUGAAUACAGUUGAGGUAGGCGGAAUGAGUAAUGUAGCGGUGAAAUGCUUAGAUAUUACUCAGAACACCAAUUGCGAAGGCAGCUUACUAAAACUGUGAUUGACGCUGAGGCACGAAAGCGUGGGGAGCGAACAGGAUUAGAUACCCUGGUAGUCCACGCCGUAAACGAUGAUCACUCGUUGUUGGCAAUACACCGUCAGCGACUGAGCGAAAGUUAUUUAAGUGAUCCCACCUGGGGAGUACGAUUGCAAAGAUUGAGACUCAAAGGAAUUGACGGGGGCCCGCACAAGCGGAGGAACAUGUGGUUUAAUUCGAUGUAUACGCGAG